rnacentral:tRNA from 1 species
GGGGGUGUAGCUCAAUGGUAGAGCACAUGCUUAGCAUGUGCAAGGUCCUAGGUUCAUCCCCA